rnacentral:rRNA from 1 species
UGGUAUUUUGACUAUACGAAGGUAUUGAAAUAAGGCUUUAAUUGGGUGCUAAGAGAAUGGUUGAACAAAGGUUAACUUUCUUUUUAUUUACAAUAAAAUUUGAUUUAAAAAUGAAAAAGUUUUUAUAAAAGUUUGGGACAAGAAGACCCUAUGAAUUUUUCUUAAGAUUUUAUUUAAAAUUUUUAAAAUUAAUAAAGUUAAGUAAAGUUUUAGGUUAAUUGGGGUGAUUUUUAAAGAAUAUAUAUCUUUAGAAGAAGUAGGAAUUAGAACCAUGAUUUUUGGAUAGUUAAGUAAAAUACUCUAGGGAUAACAGCGUAAUUAUUUUGGAUAGUUCUUAUAGAUAAAAUAGUUUGCGACCUCGAUGUUGGAUUAAGAUACUUUUUUGGUGUAGUAGUUAAAAAAAGGAGUUUGCUCAACUUUUGAAAUCUUA